rnacentral:rRNA from 1 species
GCCCAGACUCCUACGGGAGGCAGCAGUGGGGAAUAUUGGGCAAUGGAGGAAACUCUGACCCAGCAACGCCGCGUGAAUGAUGAAGGUCUUCGGAUUGUAAAGUUCUUUUCUAAGGGAAGAAGAAAGUGACGGUACCUUAGGAAUAAGCCUCGGCUAACUACGUGCCAGCAGCCGCGGUAAUACGUAGGAGGCAAGCGUUAUCCGGAUUUAUUGGGUUUAAAGGGUGCGUAGGCGGGAUGCCAAGUCAGCGGUAAAAAUGCGGUGCUCAACGCCGUCGAGCCGUUGAAACUGGCGUUCUUGAGUGGGCGAGAAGUAUGCGGAAUGCGUGGUGUAGCGGUGAAAUGCAUAGAUAUCACGCAGAACUCCGAUUGCGAAGGCAGCAUACCGGCGCCCUACUGACGCUGAGGCACGAAAGCGUGGGUAUCGAACAGGAUUAGAUACCCCCGUA